AUUGAACGCUGGCGGCAUGCCUUACACAUGCAAGUCGAACGGCAGCGGGGACUUCGGUCCGCCGGCGAGUGGCGAACGGGUGAGUAAUGUAUCGGAACGUACCUUUCAGUGGGGGAUAACGUAGCGAAAGUUACGCUAAUACCGCAUAUUCUCUGAGGAGGAAAGCAGGGGACCUUCGGGCCUUGUGCUGAUGGAGCGGCCGAUAUCAGAUUAGCUAGUUGGUGAGGUAAAGGCUCACCAAGGCGACGAUCUGUAGCGGGUCUGAGAGGAUGAUCCGCCACACUGGGACUGAGACACGGCCCAGACUCCUACGGGAGGCAGCAGUGGGGAAUUUUGGACAAUGGGCGCAAGCCUGAUCCAGCCAUGCCGCGUGAGUGAAGAAGGCCUUCGGGUUGUAAAGCUCUUUCGGACGGGAAGAAAUUGGUGGGGCUAAUAUCCCCAUCGGAUGACGGUACCGUAAUAAGAAGCACCGGCUAACUACGUGCCAGCAGCCGCAGUAAAAC
rnacentral:rRNA from 1 species